rnacentral:misc_RNA from 1 species
UCAAUCACGUGAUUUUAACAGGCCGCCGACCAGGAAGAGGAGUAAACACGAACUAGGAAGAUCAAACAUGGACAUUGUCGUCAUUUUGAGUUGUAGGGCUUUGUGAGGAAACCUAACCAGGAAGAGAAAAAACCAAGCACAUUGUCGCCAUUUUGAGUUGGAGGUGAACAGAACAUGAGUAAAAGUAUCUGACCAUGGACAAGCGCUGGGCCCAGGAUGUGUUACGGUGUCGUCUCUGUGAGACCCCAGGCCCCCCUAUGUACUGUGACAUUUGCCACAUACAUCUGUGUAAAGCCUGUGUGGGGGAACAUCUCUCUGAUCAAUCCAAAGAACACAAAGUGCUGCCAUUUGAAAAGAGAGGAUCUACUCCUAAAUGCCCAAAACAUUCCUCAAACAUAAGUGUACUUUACUGUAAACAAUGUAACAUUCCUAUUUGUACAACAUGUCUUUCCUCUGAAGAACACAGUGGCCAUCAAUUUAUUGAAAUAUCUAAAACCAUGGACAACAAGAAAGAAAUGAUUCAAAAAGAUUUACAAGAACUAGAGAAAUCCAUUUAUCCCAAAUACCAAGAGAUUGCAUCCAUUAUCCCAGUCCAGAAAUCUGCUCUGAGUGAAAACUCCCAGAAAUUAACAACAGAAAUUGACAAACAUGGAGAAGACUUGCACAGAGAAAUAAACACCAUUAUCAGAAACAUGAAAUCUAACGUGAAGGAAACGGAGACCAAACAUCUGGCUGUCUUAGACAAACAGGAAGAUGAAAUUAAACACACCAUUUCUGAAAUCACACAGACCAUUACUGAACUAAAGACGUUACUGGACUCCAGUGAUGUCAGCCGUGUCUCUGCCUACAAAUCCAGGAAUGAUGAAUUCAGAAGAUUGCCUCCUAAACUCACAGUGUCCUUACCAAGUUUUACCCCUCAGAAGAUCAACAAAGAACAGCUUUAUCAACAGUUUGGUUCUCUGUCAGCGUCAUCUAUCAAAACAGAAGAACAUGGCUACACCAUGGAAUCUCCCGGUGCUGAGUCCUCUCCCCCGGACAGACCGCUCAUUGAUGUACCACGGAUCAUCACACAGAUAGACACCGAGUAUAUAGGAUUAGAGAGUGUGUCCUGUCUGAGUGAUGAGGAGAUGUGGACGUGUGGUGAUGACAACAUCAUGAGACUCUACAACCUCCGUGGGAAACUAGUGAAGUCAGUCCAAACCAAGUCAGGGAAACAUCCAUACAACAUAGCAGUGACAAGGAGUGGGGAUCUAGUUUAUACUGAUAUAGUUGAUAGAACUGUGAACAUAGCGAAGAAUACACAGAUACAGACAGUGAUCAGACUACGGGGGUGGAAACCUUUCAAUGUCUGUAGUACCUCCUCUGGUGACCUCCUGGUUGUCAUGGACAGUGAUGAUGAUAAACAAACAAAAGUUGUGUGUUACUCUGGCUCCACAGAGAAACAAAGUAUUCAGUACGACGACAAAGGACAACCUCUCUAUUCAUAUGGUAGAUACCCUAAAUACAUCAGUGAGAACAGGAACCUAGAUAUCUGUGUGUCGGACUAUAGAGCCCGUGCAGUAGUGGUGGUCAAUCAGGCCGGGAAACUCCGGUUUACCUACACUGGUCCUUCCUUUACUACCAAGGGAACAUUCGAUCCACUCGGCAUCACAACAGACAGCCAGGGUCGCAUCCUGACAGCAGACUGUACCUAUAACAACCAGCGUAUCCACAUCCUGGAUCAGGACGGACAGUUCCUCCGCUACAUUGACAACUGUGAUUUACAGUAUCCAUGGUGUUUAUGUGUGGACACCAGAGACAACCUCUUUGUGGCUGAGUACAACACAGGUAAAGUGAAGAAAAUACAAUAUGUGUAGAACAUUACACAGCAGUGUAACAUUGUUUAUAUGUAUUACAUGUUGACAAACUGACUGUGUGUAUAUAUAAAACAUGUAUUAGCAUAAAGAUAAUUAAUUAUAUUAUAUAAUAGAGUCAUGCAUAUAAAAUAUACGUCCAUUUAGUUCAUGUCAACAAUAUCAUUGUUUUGUUUAUCAUGUUUAUACAUCAUAAUAACAAACUGUUUUAGUGUAGUCAUUGUAUUGUCAAUGAAUUAAAUGUUUAUACAUUUAAUGUCUAAACAAACUGUGUACAUUAUAAGAAUACAAUCAGAGAAACCUCGUUUGGUAUUUGUCAAACAAAUCAAAACAUUUUAAUGUUGAUAAAAUGACACUUAAAGUUGAAUUAAA